AACGAACGCUGGCGGCAGGCUUAACACAUGCAAGUCGAACGCAUCGCAAGAUGAGUGGCAGACGGGUGAGUAACGCGUGGGAACAUACCCUUUUCUACGGAAUAGCUCUGGGAAACUGGAAUUAAUACCGUAUACGCCCUACGGGGGAAAGAUUUAUCGGGGAAGGAUUGGCCCGCGUUGGAUUAGCUAGUUGGUGGGGUAAAGGCCUACCAAGGCGACGAUCCAUAGCUGGUCUGAGAGGAUGAUCAGCCACAUUGGGACUGAGACACGGCCCAAACUCCUACGGGAGGCAGCAGUGGGGAAUAUUGGACAAUGGGCGCAAGCCUGAUCCAGCCAUGCCGCGUGAGUGAUGAAGGCCUUAGGGUUGUAAAGCUCUUUCACCGAUGAAGAUAAUGACGGUAGUCGGAGAGGAAGCCCCGGCUAACUUCGUGCCAGCAGCCGCAGUAAGAC
rnacentral:rRNA from 1 species